rnacentral:rRNA from 1 species
GAUGAACGCUGGCGGCGUGCCUAAUACAUGCAAGUCGAGCGAACAGACGAGGAGCUUGCUCCUCUGACGUUAGCGGCGGACGGGUGAGUAACACGUGGAUAACCUACCUAUAAGACUGGGAUAACUUCGGGAAACCGGAGCUAAUACCGGAUAACAUGUUGAACCGCAUGGUUCAACAGUGAAAGACGGUCUUGCUGUCACUUAUAGAUGGAUCCGCGCCGCAUUAGCUAGUUGGUAAGGUAACGGCUUACCAAGGCAACGAUGCGUAGCCGACCUGAGAGGGUGAUCGGCCACACUGGAACUGAGACACGGUCCAGACUCCUACGGGAGGCAGCAGUAGGGAAUCUUCCGCAAUGGGCGAAAGCCUGACGGAGCAACGCCGCGUGAGUGAAGAAGGUCUUCGGAUCGUAAAACUCUGUUAUUAGGAAAGAACAAAUGUGUAAGUAACUAUGCACGUCUUGACGGUACCUAAACAGAAAGCCACGGCUAACUACGUG